CGUGGUGGUGCCACUGCACUCCAGCCUGGGUGACAUAGCAAGGCCCUGUCUCAACCCCACCUCCCCCCAACCACAGAACAUCCUAACCUCUAGCCCUAUUCAUUGUCCUUAGCCUUGUAAAACAUAACCUUGUCUUUCAGUAUUUCUGAGGUCCAUAACAGCCAUGCUAAAGCAUCCUUGAUCCAAGUCCCACCUUACACCAGAUAAGCCUCCAAACUCAGAGCUUAUUAAAUAUUUGCACCUCCAGGAAAAUAUCCUUAUAUUGAGAAUUAGAGAAAAUUGAUCAUUGGAAGUAUUUUCUAAAAAUCAACAUAAAAAUAAUCAAUAAUGUAGAGGUAAGAAGAUAUAGACUACGGUAUUUUUCACUAGUGUAAAAUGGGAAUAAUAAUAGUAUAGGGAAGAUUAAAUGAGUUAAUAUGUGUAAAAUGCUUAAAAUAGUGCCUGGUACACAGUAAGCACUCAAUAAAUGUUCUAUUAUUGUUGUCAAUAGUAUUAAUACUACAGCACAUGUGUGAUGGAAUUACUAUUGAACAACAGAUGAGACACUCUAAUAGACAAAAGAGAUUUAUCAGAGUACUGUAGCCAUUGCUGUUUCUGGCUUAGACUGUCUUCAAACUGUAAAGCUUCUGAAACAUUUAAUAUGACAGCAAGCAAAACAGUCAAAAUAAGUGAGGGAAGCCUGGUGGAACUAAACUUGACAAACUAAAGCAUUCCUUGCUAAUUGCAUGUCUUUGUCAUUCACCACUGAAAGAAAACCUGAAAUCAGCAGAAAUGUAUCACUGGAGCAAAUUGCCCAAUUAUUUUCCUAACCAAAGGCAGAUAAGAAUUGUGUCACUGCCCCAGGAGUGCAGUGGAUGGAACCAUAAAGCCAGUGGCUGAGGAAGCUGGAGGAGCUGGAAGUGGCAGAGGCAGCCUGCCUGGGGGACCCAUUCCUGACUUUAAGAAAGGUUCUACUUGACAAGAGAUGACAUUGCCUUUGGAGAAGAGAAUGGACAUCUUUCCAAAGCACCAAAUUCUUAUUGUGGAUGAAGUCAGCUCCUCAUUGGUGAAUUUAUAUAAUGUGUACGUCUGUAACCUUUUGUACAAAGGUAAUUUUUGUACCCCAAAAGUAUGCAUAUUGGGC
rnacentral:lncRNA from 10 species